UACGUAGGGUGCAAGCGUUGUCCGGAAUUAUUGGGCGUAAAGAGCUCGUAGGCGGUUUGUUGCGUCGGCUGUGAAAACCCGGGGCUCAACCCCGGGCCUGCAGCCGAUACGGGCAGACUAGAGUUCGGCAGGGGAGACGUGGAAUUCCUGGUGUAGCGGUGGAAAUGACGCAGAUAUCAGGAGGAACACCGGUGGCGAAGGCGGGAUCCUGGGCCAGUACUGACGCUGAGGAGCGAAAGCGUGGGGAGCAAACAGG
rnacentral:rRNA from 1 species